rnacentral:rRNA from 1 species
ACCUUGCGAAAGUAAGACUAAUGCCCCAUGUGUCCUCAGACGGCAUCAGACGAGGACGAAAGAUUUAUCGGAAGUGGAUGGGGAUGCGCCUGAUUAGGCAGUUGGCGGGGCAACGGCCCACCAAGCCGACGAUCAGUAGGGGUUCUGAGAGGAAGGUCCCCCACAUUGGAACUGAGACACGGUCCAAACUCCUACGGGAGGCAGCAGUGAGGAAUAUUGGUCAAUGGGCGAGAGCCUGAACCAGCCAAGUAGCGUGCAGGACGACGGCCCUAUGGGUUGUAAACUGCUUUUGCGCGGGGAUAAAGUGCGCCACGUGUGGCUCAUUGCAGGUACCGCGCGAAUAAGGACCGGCUAAUUCCGUGCCAGCAGCCGCGGUAAUACGGAAGGUCCAGGCGUUAUCCGGAUUCAUUGGGUUUAAAGGGAGCGCAGGCCGCCCCUUAAGCGUGUUGUGAAAUGCCGCGGCUCAACCGUGGCACUGCAGCGCGAACUGGGGGGCUUGAGUGCGCGCAGCGCAGGCGGAACUCGUGGUGUAGCGGUGAAAUGCUUAGAUAUCACGAAGAACUCCGAUCGCGAAGGCAGCCUGCGGGAGCGCAACUGACGCUGAGGCUCGAAAGUGCGGG